rnacentral:rRNA from 1 species
GACGAACGCUGGCGGCGCGCCUAACACAUGCAAGUCGAGCGAUGAAAUUUUAACCGAUCUCUUCGGAGAGAAGAUAAAAUGGAUUAGCGGCGGACGGGUGAGUAACACGUGAGAAACCUGCCUUUCACAAGGGGAUAGCCUCGGGAAACCGGGAUUAAUACCCUAUGACACAUUUCCUUCGCAUGGAAGAAAUGUUAAAACUCCGGUGGUGAAAGAUGGUCUCGCGCCUGAUUAGCUAGUUGGUGGGGUAACGGCCCACCAAGGCCAUGAUCAGUAACCGGCCUGAGAGGGUGAACGGUCACAUUGGAACUGAGACACGGUCCAAACUCCUACGGGAGGCAGCAGUGGGGAAUAUUGCACAAUGGAGGAAACUCUGAUGCAGCGACGUCGCGUGAGCGAUGAAGGCUUUCGAGUCGUAAAGCUCUGUCCUAUGGGAAGAUAAUGACGGUACCAUAGGAGGAAGCCCCGGCUAACUACGUG